rnacentral:rRNA from 1 species
UACGAGGGGGGCGAGCGUUGUUCGGAAUUAUUGGGCGUAAAGGGUGCGUAGGCGGGUCUUUAAGUCAGGGGUGAAAUCCUGGAGCUCAACUCCAGAACUGCCUUUGAUACUGAAGAUCUUGAGUUCGGGAGAGGUGAGUGGAACUGCGAGUGUAGAGGUGAAAUUCGUAGAUAUUCGCAAGAACACCAGUGGCGAAGGCGGCUCACUGGCCCGAUACUGACGCUGAGGAGCGAAAGCGUGGGGAGCGAACAGG